UUCAAACCAGAAGGAAGAGUAAUCCUUUCUUAUCACAGCCUUUUAGUUCCAGAACAGGAGAAAAAGGGGCGAGCCGUAGGCUGCACGUAGCUGUAGGCUGGCUUCCUCAACCCAGGGGUCUUCCCAGUGCCCGGCACUAGAAACCAAGCUCCCACUCAUCACCUAUAGCACGUGUAGCCCUGUUGUACUACCAUUUGAAAUUCCUUCUCUGAAGUAUCUAGCUUACUGCAGAGUUGAAGACCGUUUCUCAAAUCACUGGAGUAUUUUCAGUAGCAAUAGAGCAUAGCCUGGAAUAUGAAUGUCACCUUGAUCAGCUUCUGCUUAAAUGGGGGAGAUCUUCCCCCAAGUGCAGGGAACACUUAUCUUCAUGUGUAUGGGCCCGUAACCUCACGGCUGAGUCAAUCCCAUCUUUUCUGUUUCAGUAAUUGUGGCCUCUUCAAGUGGGAACGGGACGGAAUGUUAAAGGAAAAGACAGGUCCAAAGAUAGGAGGAGAAACCCUGUUACCAAGAGGAGAAGAACAUGCCAAAUUCCUGAAUAGCCUUAAAUAGCCCCGACUUCAAACAGGAGAGUAAGUCUGUUUGCCUGAGUUGUCACUGCUUAGCAGCCCAUCAGAGCCUCUGCUCUUACAGGUAAAACAGACAUCUCAGAUGCCAUGAGGAGAGCUUUGGAAACAGCACCACUCAAAAGAAGGAUGACUGACCCCCAAAAUGAAAUUCUGUAUUUGCCAAUAUUGAAGAAAGAAACGGUGAUAUAGCUAAAGAAAAUAACAGAGAGGCACAGAAGGUGGAAGAAAUCAGUUGGCAUCAGUCGGCAGCAGUUUGUGGAAAAGCUGUGGAAUUUUAGAAAAUUAAAGAAAGACAAUAUAGCCCCACAGCUGAACUCUCCAGAUCAAAAUGGGGAAGAGGCCUGCCAUGUCCUGCACAGUCAGACCAUGUAUCCAGUAAAACUGACCUGCAUUUUGGAGAAAAGCGGGACGUCAGUAUUCGAGGUGGUGAAAACUCAAAGCCAUUUCACCGAAGAAAGGAAGAAAGAACUAGAAAUAUAGAGAGAGUGGAUUUUUGUUAUUCACAGUAAUUAUGUUUCAUAGAGUCACCAGCUGAACUAGCAGAUACCCAGUCACUGCUCCUAGAGGAAAUACAGGCUUAGGUUCCCUUGAGCCUCUGGUCACGUCGUCUUCACCGGAUCAGUACAUAACCUUGUAUUAUGUGCGUUUCUGUUUAAAGACACCUUAUUUAAUAUGUAUCGUCGAUUCAUUAACGCGGAACUCACAGCCGACAGCAGUGUAUCUCCUAGUGGAACAAAGCUGAUCUCAGCGCGCGCUUUUCCUCCAGAGGGUGCAUCCCAGCCUUCUUGCCCUCGGGAACACUUACGCACUGUGCCCGUGGGCCAUUUUCAGCAGCAAGAGUACACCAAAGACGCACAAAACUGUGAUGAACAUGGCAUGAAAAGGACAUCUUUUUACAGCAUCAGAACUGAAACCAGCAAAAGUUGUUGCUUUGUUCUACCUCAGCUGAGAACAACUUAGAUUUCUCGUUGGUCUGCACAUGUGCAUGUCCAUAAGUGACCACAAAAAAACCGCAUGUAUUGCUUUUGGAGUUAAAAAUUUUAACAAUUAGGUGAAUUUGGAAAAACAUGGAAUCCACAAAUAAUGAGGAGCAACUGUGUAAUAUUUCCCAAAACAGGGCCAGAUCCGGGAGUGUCCCCAUUUUGCAGAUUAGAAAAUUAAGUGAUUUGAAAAUAUGGGAAGAAACCAGGACUGCAAUCAAGUCUGUGGUAAUGUUGCUUAAGCAGAGACUCCUCUAUUGGUAUUUCUUUAAGUCAACUUUAUUAAGGGCUAAAUUUCACACAGCAAAAGGCACGCAUCUUAAGUGUACAGUUUGGUAAAUUUUGAUGAAUUUAUAUAUCCACGUGACCACCACCACAAGCAAGAUAGAGAACAUUCCCACCACCCCAAAAAGUUGCCUCUGCCACUUCCCAGUCAGGCCACAUGCCCUGGUCCCAUCCAUCACUGAUCUGUUUAUAAUCUGUUUAGAUCUGUCUUUCCUAGAGUUUCAUAUAAAUGGAAUCAUACAGAAUGUACUCUUACACUUCACUCUGCAUAUUUGGAAAUAAAUCCAUGUUAUCGCCUGUGUCCACAGUUCAUUUUUUAUUGUUGAGUAUUUCAACUGUAUGGAUAUGUCACUAUUUAUUCACCUGUAGAUGGACAUUUGGGUUCGCUUGUUUCCAGUUUGGGGCUGUUAUGAAUAAAGCCAUUAGCAAUAUUCAGGUAUAAGUCUUUCUCUGGAUAUGUUUUUGUUUCUCUUAGGUAAAUACCUAGGAGUGGGAUUUCUGGUAAGUAUGUUUAGCUUUAUAAGAAACUGCUAAACUGUUUUCCAAAGUGGUCUUUUACAUACCCGCUAGUGAGUCAUGAGAGUUCCGUCUGCUCCACAUCCUCACCAAUGCUUGGUAUUGUCAGUCUUUUCAGUUUUAGCCAUUCUGAUGGGUGUGUGGUGGGAUC